rnacentral:rRNA from 1 species
UUGACCUCAAAUCAGGUAGGAUUACCCGCUGAACUUAAGCAUAUCAAUAAGCGGAGGAAAAGAAACUAACAAGGAUUCCCCUAGUAACUGCGAGUGAAGCGGGAAGAGCUCAAAUUUGAAAUCUGACGGUUGUUGACCGUCCGAGUUGUAAUCUAGAGAAGUGUUACCUGUGCUGGACCGUGUACAAGUCUUCUGGAAUGGAGCAUCAUAGAGGGUGAGAAUCCCGUCUUUGACAUGGACUACCUGUACGUUGUGGUACGCUCUCAAAGAGUCGAGUUGUUUGGGAAUGCAGCUCAAAAUGGGUGGUAAAUGCCAUCUAAAGCUAAAUAUUGGCGAGAGACCGAUAGCGAACAAGUACCGUGAGGGAAAGAUGAAAAGAACUUUGGAAAGAGAGUUAAACAGUACGUGAAAUUGCUGAAAGGGAAACGCUUGAAGUCAGUCACGUCGGCUAGAAAUCAGCCUUGCUUCUGCUUGGUGUACUUUCUGGUUGAUGGGUCAGCAUCAAUUUUGACCAUUGGAUAAAGUCUCUGGGAAUGUGGCAUCUUUUUUUAGAUGUGUUAUAGCCCAUUGUCGCAUACGGUGGUUGGGAUUGAGGAACUCAGGAUGCCCUGCAAGGGGCCAGGUUUCGACCAUGUUCAUGCUUAGGAUGCUGGCAUAAUGGCUUCAAUCGACCCGUC